rnacentral:rRNA from 1 species
GGGGAAUAUUGCACAAUGGGCGAAAGCCUGAUGCAGCAACGCCGCGUGAGUGAUGAAGGUCUUCGGAUUGUAAAGCUCUGUCUUUUGGGACGAUAAUGACGGUACCAAAGGAGGAAGCCACGGCUAACUACGUGCCAGCAGCCGCGGUAAUACGUAGGUGGCGAGCGUUGUCCGGAUUUACUGGGCGUAAAGGGUGCGUAGGCGGACGUUUAAGUGAGAUGUGAAAUACCCGGGCUUAACUUGGGUGCUGCAUUUCAAACUGGAUAUCUAGAGUGCAGGAGAGGAGAAUGGAAUUCCUAGUGUAGCGGUGAAAUGCGUAGAGAUUAGGAAGAACACCAGUGGCGAAGGCGAUUCUCUGGACUGUAACUGACGCUGAGGCACGAAAGCGUGGGUAGCAAACAGGAUUAGAUACCCUGGUAGUCCACGCCGUAAACGAUGAGUACUAGGUGUAGGAGGUAUCGACCCCUUCUGUGCCGCAGUAAACACAUUAAGUACUCCGCCUGGGAAGUACGAUCGCAAGAUUAAAACUCU